UUUUGGCCAGGUGGGGCAGGUGAGACGCUUUCUAGGUAACACAUCCUGCUUCCGUUUUCGUCACGCCAAAUGUUUACCUUUUUGAGAGGUUGGCAUGCGGUUUCGCUUCUCCUUCGUGCACACUUGUCUGCAGCCCCAAGGCGUGCGCAUGAGGGUAGCACUGCAUGCUGAGGAGAAGCAGGAAGUCCCCAGAUGGAGGCGCUGUUGAAGUCAGCAAGGUGGGACCGCAGAAAUGGAAAACAAGUGGAGGAACGGGGGCUUGAACCCAGAACCUCACGAUUCUGAGCCCAUGACAAUACCAUGACGCCACCACCACGUUUGUGUUUUGUUGGGGAGCAGCAGUGGACAGAAGAUAAGACUACAGAAACCAAAGCGAAAUAAAGAGAAAUAAUGAGUUUCGAACCUGGCAACAUUGCACCUGCAGGCAUUGACAAUACCGUUCUGCCAACACGUCUUUGCCUUUUUUUGUCCUCUGCACUCCCCAGAAGAUGAUGAGACCACAGAAAUUCAAGAGAACUAAAGCUAAAGAACUGGGUUUGAACCCACAACCUCUGGGUCCGGAGACGGAGACCAUACCACUGAGCCACGGCUGCUCUGGCGGUGUUUAGGUUGAUGCAGUGGAUUGAAGAAGAAGAUGAGAAGAUGAUCAGACCACAGAAAUGCAAGAAAGAGGGAAGGUGGGGUUUGAACUGACGACCUUCGCAUCCAAAGACAAUGACGAUACCACUGUACCACGAGGGUUUCGGUGCUUUUGGCUGUGCUUCAGAGGAUAGAAGAAGAUGAGAUCACAGAAAUACAAGACAACCAAGAAAGAACCAGAGGAGCUGGACCCACAAGUUCUGCAUGCAGUUCUUCCCCAGGGAGACCCCGACCCUGGACCCAGUAUUGAUUCAGCAGUAAACAGGAAGAUAGUGCUUGGAUGUGUGAUUAUCUUGAUGUUGUAGCUCGUCGUCAUGCCUCCCAGUUUGACUUGGCGUAACUUACUGACUUGGCCUCUGCUUGCUGUGUGAAUUGGACUUAAUGCACUCAUGGCUAUGGAUACACUGUUACACAAUGAGCAUUGUACCUCAGCGGACCUGUGUGUUAUUGCAGUUGUUCCAACGACCUUCGGUGUGCACUUAUUGUGCGUCGCUUUGGAUAAAAGUGCCAAUAAAUGUGAUGUGAGGUGAGGUGAUGUGAUGUAAUGGAUGUGUGGGAGAGUAAUAAACUAUCAAACACCCUCA